UAUUCCAGAGCCCGUGGUGACACAAGAUCAUC
rnacentral:piRNA from 1 species